UGGGGCCCUUUCUCUGCCUUUUGCCUAUUGAGUUUCAACGCGGCCCCACUUUCUAAGAUCUAAGUCCAUAAUAAUAAUUUUUUACGCCUUAAAACUGAAGGAGAGUGAUGCGGCUGGAAAAGAAAAUCUAUUUUCGUUUGUAUAGAGGAGGGGCGGAAAGGGAAUGUACUGUACGGUCAGGUUUGGCUGCAAAUGUACAUUGUGUAAACUGUACAUUCAGAGUAUUUUUCACUUGUGAGGGAGGUGCACAACUGGUUCAUUAUGAUAUUUUAUGUGGACGUGUACACUCCUCUAGAAAAGGUCUUGCAGACAAGUAAGAGGAUAUGGUCCUUGCCCUGAUGUGUUUGCAAACGGAGCAUCUGAUUUUUCAUGUUGUUAAGAUCUCUCGGUUCCCAUUGCGUUGGAGGCACUCAGCAUCUGCGGUGAGGAGCUUAGUCCCUUGUGAGCACUGUUUUCUGUGACCUGGACUCAUCUUCCACUCUUCCCCAGUACAUGCGUAAUAACUCACAGAAGAUGGGACAAAGGAACCGGAAAAUUCUGCAAGGAUCACCUCAAUGAGUUUCCUGACAAGUGUUCCUAUUACAGGGAAGACUUUUGAGGAGACAGAGCAGGGGGAGGCUCACAGCUCCCAACACUGAAAAUUCUGGGGAACUUCUAAGUACAAGGAGAAAGGUCACUGCGUUCAGGGGCUACUUUGGUCUCUUCUCCACCCCGGCAGAACAGAAAACAUUGCCUUUGGCUGACUCUCUGGUGGCGUAGUAGUAGCAGUUGUAAAGUGGAUUCUACAGAUAUUGAUGAUGCCCCAUGGAUAAUAAAUACAAAAACUCA